UCCUUGGGCAAUGUGUUCCAGUGAUGUGGCGGUGUGCACGUGUCUGUGAGCUUUUGGGGGAACUAGAAACGGGUGAGGCCUCUGUGAGACAAGGACAUGGAGCCUCCUUGUGUCUGAUGCAGCGUGAGCCUCCCACCCUUGAGGUCUUCAACAUCCCGACGUGCUCCAGAGGCUGCCUUCCCAUAGAGGAGGCAGCGUGUCCUCCUGCAGCGUGCCCUGGUUUCAACCCAGCAAGGUCAGACCCUCUGCAAGCGCUGCAGUCAGUCACCUCUGCAGGAAGCACGUGCUUAGGAAUCAAGCUCAGGUUGCCUGACUCGCACCCUGUGUGAGAGGUCAGUGAGGGCUGCAGCAAAACCUUGCCUCUCUUCAGUGUAUAGGGAAGCACUUCAGUCUCAAAUGCGGGUUAUGUGGCCUUCUUCAUGUGUUUCCUCUGGCUGCUGUCUGUACGAGCUUGUGGUUUGCUGUGGCAUGGAGUAGUUAUGUGAAAGCCAGUGCAACGAGUUGUAAGUGUAUACCAAGGAAUUUGCUUUAAAACAGUCAUCAUAUGUGGUUCUAGGAUGAUACUGUACUGAGGAAAGCUGAGGUUAAUAAGGUCAGCUUUAAUUCGGUAAGAUAGUAUCAAUAAUGGAAAUAGAAUUCAUCUUAAUGUAGGUGCUAAAAGAUUGGCUGUUCCACGAAGAGACAUUCCCUCCAGGACAGCAAAUCUCUUCUUGCUGACGUCUGUGUUAGCACAAGGCAAUGAGACUGUAAAUUUGAUCCCCAGCCUCUCUUGCUCUCUGCUGCUCUCCAGUCUGUUGAGGUAGAGGUCUUUUCUCAUGAACCUCGGGAACAGCAGCUUUAACCCUGCGCACCUGAGCCACCAUAAGCAAGAUGGAAUCUUUCCCCGGUUCUAAGAAAUGGGAAGAGAGGUCGCCUGAAGAGACCUUUUUCCCAAGCAAGAGCAGAAAGCAGGUGCAAGCUGGAAGAACAGGGGAUCCCUCAAGUUAGACUGAAAGUAAAUAUGCCUUUGACAUCUCAGGGCUUCUGCUGCUGGUUUCACAUGAACCCAUGGGAUGGCAGUGUUUGCAGUGCUGCCCAGCUGGAUGAGGUCUCCUCAGUGCGUGCAGGCAGCAGAUAGAGUCUUCAUGGCUGAUCUUGAGUCCCAGAAAUCAUACAUCGUGGGAUGCUUAUUUGUAUUUUAGUGCACGGGGGAAGUAUAGAGGAAGAAUUUUUUAUUGAGCUUUUUUCCCGUAGCUGAUCUAUGAACCAGUAUGGAAGCAAGAUGAAAGUAGUCUGAUAUUUCCAUCUGAACUGGAAGGAAAUCCCAUCAAGAAGCAUUUUCUAGUCCUAAUGUAAUGCAGCCUUGCCAGACCUGGCACUUAGGUGGCUCCAAAUCCUUGCACAAAUGCAGGUAUUUCACAGGGAUGGGAGAAUCAGUACAUCAUCUGCUGUGACUGCAGUCGAAGCCAACUUGGCAAAGUUGUUUCAGUCUGAUUUCAUUCCACUCGGCCACACUCUGAUCAUCAUCCAUUAGUGUGCACUGAGAGCACAUGGGAACAGACAGACCUUGCAGGAACAGACAAACAACAAGCAUAGCAGUCAGUGGAGAAAUCCUCAGUCCCUGUCUAUCACCAGUGCACAUGAAGCUGAUGGAUCACUGACUUGAAGAGCCAGGUGGUAAUACCCCUUGAGGAAGACACUCCCUGGCAACUUGGAAACCUUGACAUCUGGCUAACCUUCAGCUGGUGGGUGUCUGGCAUUCUCCAUUCACUGCCUAAUUCUGCCCCUGAGACCAAGAAACACCGGACACCAUGGAUCACAGAGCCACUGGACCCCGUGAUGGUGCCUGUUCCCUUUGCAAAAUUCUGUGACUGCCUUGAAGCUGUGAUUUGGCACCACAAGCAAAAAAUCUGUGUGGAUAUGAUGCUAUAUAUUUAUCAAUGACAACUGUGAUCUGGAGACUAAGGGCUUUCACAAUGCAACAGUCUUUAUUCUGGAGGAGUUCAAGUCACAGAGAACUGGUUCAUAAGCAAAUGUUUAGUUUGAAAUAUGUCAGUGAAGCAUCCUAAAUUGUGAGAGAUCUCCAAUGUGUUGUUUAUAUAAAGUGAUAUUUUUGUAAACU
rnacentral:lncRNA from 7 species